rnacentral:snRNA from 1 species
AUACUUACCUGGCAGGGGAGAUACCAUGAUCAUGAAGGUGGUUCUCCCAGGGCAAGGCUUAUCCAUUGCACUCCGGAUGUGCUGACCCUUGUGAUUUCCCCAAAUGCGAGAAACUGGACUACAUAAUUUGUGGUAGUGGCAGACCGUGUUCACACUCUUUCCUG